rnacentral:rRNA from 1 species
AACGAACGCUGGCGGCAUGCCUAACACAUGCAAGUCGAACGAGACCUUCGGGUCUAGUGGCGCACGGGUGCGUAACGCGUGGGAACCUGCCCUUAGGUUCGGCAUAACUCCCCGAAAGGGGUGCUAAUACCGGUUAAUGUCUUCGGACCAAUGAUUUAUCGCCUUUGGAUGGGCCCGCGUUGGAUUAGCUAGUUGGUAGGGUAAAAGCCUACCAAGGCGACGUUCCAUAGCUGGUCUGAGAGGAUGAUCAGCCACACUGGGACUGGGACACGGCCCAGACUCCUACGGGAGGCAGCAGUGGGGAAUAUUGGACAAUGGGCGAAGGCCUGAUCCAGCAAUGCCGCGUGAGUGAUGAAGGCCUUAGGGUUGUAAAGCUCGUUUACCCGGGAUGAUAAUGACAGUACCGGGAGAAUAAGCUCCGGCUAACUCCGUG